GCACAAGCGGUGGAUUAUGUUGUUAAUUUCGACGCAACGCGAAGAACCUUACCAGGCCUUGACAUACUCGGCAAAGCUCUAGAGAUAGAGUGGAGGUUAUCCGGGAUACAGGUGGUGCAUGGUUGUCGUCAGCUCGUGUCGUGAGAUGUUGGGUUAAGUCCCGCAACGAGCGCAACCCUUGUCUUUAGUUACCAUCAUUAAGUUGGGGACUCUAGAGAGACUGCCGGUGAUAAACCGGAGGAAGGUGGGGAUGACGUCAAAUCAUCAUGCCCCUUAUGGCCUGGGCUACAAACGUAAUACAAUGGCGUAUACAAAGGGAUGCGAAAGGGCGACCUGGAGCAAAACUCACAAAGUACGUCUCAGUUCAGAUUGGGGUCUGCAACUCGACUCCAUGAAGGCGGAAUCGCUAGUAAUCGCGGAUCAGCAUGCCGCGGUGAAUACGUUCUCGGGGUUU
rnacentral:rRNA from 1 species